AUUACAUAUUCCUCAUGUAAAUUUGUCUCCGGCGGCUGACCACGGAUGUACUGGCAGCCGCCGUAGAGACAGAUUGAGGAAGGUCGGUGCGAAUUUCGCCCGGCCUUUUUUCUU
rnacentral:sRNA from 1 species